GUAGGUGAACCUGCGGAAGGAUCAUUACUGAAAGACCAAGGAGUCUAGAGACUGCGCCCUCGGGCGUGUGCUCGACGCCUUACUCUUUAUCCACACACACCUUUGUGCACCAUGGGAGACCUUAACGGUCGCCCCACUUUCACACACACCAAGUUAUAUGCAUGUCUCAUUAUAUACUCUACGGAGUGAAAUGUACAACUUUCAACAACGGAUCUCUUGGCUUUC
rnacentral:misc_RNA from 1 species